AAGGAGGAAACAGUCUUCGCUGGUGGCAGCCGUACAGAGGAAAGCCGAUAAAAAGUCAAUUCCACUUAACUGAAUGGCUGCUAACUAAAUAUUUUUGGGGCCAGAGCCUUCCCAGAUAGCAGCUGGAGCGUCUCUGUUCCGGAACUGAGACAUCAAGCAGGGGCCGUGCAUCGACAGGGCGGAGACCCCUGUUCUCUAUAAACCCCAGAUGAAGAACAGUAUCACACGAAGCGCAGACGAUAUCCCAGGAGAUUACUAUGUGGCUACUGUUCUGAAACAGACAACAGCUCCAGACAGCUCCAGACAGCCAGCCCAGAAAACUCACCACAUGAGGCUUGGGGAGUCAACUUUGGCCUAAGUUGCGAAAUGGACACAGGUGCUAUGAAGAGGAGGAAAUGAAGAAAAUCCCAAAUAAAGCAUUUAGAAGUUCAUACUUUGGUUUUUAAAAGGCAGCUGUGAAUAAUAAAAUUCCUAUAUAAUUAA